UGGGGAAUUUUGGACAAUGGGCGAAAGCCUGAUCCAGCAAUGCCGCGUGUGUGAAGAAGGCCUUCGGGUUGUAAAGCACUUUUGUCCGGAAAGAAAUCCUUGGCUCUAAUACAGUCGGGGGAUGACGGUACCGGAAGAAUAAGCACCGGCUAACUACGUGCCAGCAGCCGCGGUAAUACGUAGGGUGCAAGCGUUAAUCGGAAUUACUGGGCGUAAAGCGUGCGCAGGCGGUUUGCUAAGACCGAUGUGAAAUCCCCGGGCUCAACCUGGGAACUGCAUUGGUGACUGGCAGGCUAGAGUAUGGCAGAGGGGGGUAGAAUUCCACGUGUAGCAGUGAAAUGCGUAGAGAUGUGGAGGAAUACCGAUGGCGAAGGCAGCCCCCUGGGCCAAUACUGACGCUCAUGCACGAAAGCGUGGGGAGCAAACAGGAUUAGAUACCCUGGUAGUCCACGCCCUAAACGAUGUCAACUAGUUGUUGGGGAUUCAUUUCCUUAGUAACGUAGCUAACGCGUGAAGUUGAUCGCCUGGGGAGUACGGUCGCAAGAUUAAAACUUAAAUGAAUUGACGGGGUCAUAGCUGUUUCCU
rnacentral:rRNA from 1 species